AACGUAGGAGACAAACGUUAUCCGGAGUUACUGGGCGUAAAGGGCGUGUAGGUGGUUUCGUAAGUCUGGCGUGAAAUUUCUCGGCUUAACCGAGGCAGGUCGUCGGAUACUGCGGAACUUGAGGACGGUAGAGGCGUGUGGAAUUCCGGGUGUAGUGGGGAAAUGCGUAGAGAUCCGGAGGAACACCAGGGGCGAAGGCGACACGCUGGGCCGUACCUGACACUGAUGCGCGACAGCAUGGGGAGCAAACAGG
rnacentral:rRNA from 1 species